rnacentral:snoRNA from 1 species
GUGCGAUGAUGAUGGAUAUUCCCAUAAACAUUCGCAGUGUUGUUGCUGACAGUUUUCAGAUUGCCGUCUGAUUCCAACUGAAUGAGGCUUCAAAUUUCCUUGGAUGUCUGAGCAC